AGAGUUUGAUUCUGGCUCAGGACGAACGCUGGCGGCGUGCUUAACACAUGCAAGUCGAACGAUGAAGCCUAGCUUGCUAGGUGGAUUAGUGGCGAACGGGUGAGUAAUACGUGAGUGACCUACCUUUGACUCUGGGAUAAGCCUGGGAAACUGGGUCUAAUACCGGAUACGACCAAUCUCCGCAUGGGGUGUUGGUGGAAAGCGUUAUGGAGUGGUUUUAGAUGGGCUCACGGCCUAUCAGCUUGUUGGUGAGGUAAUGGCUUACCAAGGCGACGACGGGUAGCCGGCCUGAGAGGGUGACCGGCCACACUGGGACUGAGACACGGCCCAGACUCCUACGGGAGGCAGCAGUGGGGAAUAUUGCACAAUGGGCGCAAGCCUGAUGCAGCGACGCCGCGUGAGGGAUGACGGCCUUCGGGUUGUAAACCUCUGUUAGCAUCGAAGAAGCGAAAGUGACGGUAGGUGCAGAGAAAGCGCCGGCUAACUACGUGCCAGCAGCCGCGGUAAUACGUAGGGCGCGAGCGUUGUCCGGAAUUAUUGGGCGUAAAGAGCUUGUAGGCGGUUGGUCGCGUCUGCUGUGAAAGGCUGGGGCUUAACCCUGGUUUUGCAGUGGGUACGGGCUAACUAGAGUGCAGUAGGGGAGACUGGAAUUCCUGGUGUAGCGGUGGAAUGCGCAGAUAUCAGGAGGAACACCGAUGGCGAAGGCAGGUCUCUGGGCUGUAACUGACGCUGAGAAGCGAAAGCAUGGGGAGCGAACAGGAUUAGAUACCCUGGUAGUCCAUGCCGUAAACGUUGGGCACUAGGUGUGGGGGACAUUCCACGUUUUCCGCGCCGUAGCUAACGCAUUAAGUGCCCCGCCUGGGGAGUACGGCCGCAAGG
rnacentral:rRNA from 1 species